GACGAAGGAUGCAAGCGUUAUCCGGAUUCAUUGGGUUUAAAGGGAGCGUAGGUGGCCUUAUAAGUCAGUGGUGAAAUCUCUGGGCUUAACCCAGAAAUUGCCAUUGAUACUGUAGGGCUUGAGUAUAGUUGCCGUUGGCGGAAUAUGACAUGUAGUGGUGAAAUACAUAGAGAUGUCAUAGAACACCGAUUGCGAAGGCAGCUAACGAAACUAUAACUGACACUGAGGCUCGAAAAGUGCGGGGAUCAAACAGG
rnacentral:rRNA from 1 species